rnacentral:rRNA from 1 species
UACGGAGGGGACUAGCGUUGUUCGGAAUUACUGGGCGUAAAGCGCACGUAGGCGGCUUUGUAAGUUAGAGGUGAAAGCCCGGGGCUCAACCCCGGAAUUGCCUUUAAGACUGCAUCGCUAGAAUUGUGGAGAGGUAAAUGGAAUUCCGAGUGUAGAGGUGAAAUUCGUAGAUAUUCGGAAGAACACCAGUGGCGAAGGCGACUUACUGGACACAUAUUGACGCUGAGGUGCGAAAGCGUGGGGAGCAAACAGG